rnacentral:rRNA from 1 species
CCCGUCUUGUAACACGGACCAAGGAGUCUAUCCAGUAUGCGAGUGUUAGGGUGGAAAAACCCGAACGCAUAAGGAAACUGAGGAUAAGCUGUUAACAGCAGCAGCCGAACCUGCAUCUUUGAUAACGGUAUCGAGCAAGAGCAUAUUUGAUAGGACCCGAAAGAUGGUGAACUUCGCUUGAGUAGGGUGAAGCCAGGGGAAACUCUGGUGAAAGCUCGAAGCGGUACUGACGUGCAAAUCGUUCGUCAAACUUGAGUGAAGGGGCGAAAGACUAAUCGAACCAUCUAGUAGCUGGUUCCCUCCGAAAU